rnacentral:lncRNA from 11 species
CUUCAACCAUGGUGUCCCUUUGGAGGACACGGCGGAGGAACUGCGGCUAUGGCCACGCAAGCCAUAUAUAUACCCUCUGGGGAGGAGGGGCGGGGCCAUAGCCCUCUAAUUGAAAACAGCUGUUAAAGGUUCCGAACUAGCUGCACACGUGCAACUAACUACCACAUGUGCGGAUUUCACAGAUGACCACUCAGAGAACCACAGUUACAGGUAAGCAACUAUUUGUUUUCUGCCUACUCAAAUAACUUUUCAUGUUAAUACAUUGAUGCCUUGGUUUAGUCUAGGGAGAAGAGGAUUGAGAUCUACACUCAAAGUAGCUUGAAAUCACCUGGGCAGCAUUUAUCAACAUUAUUGAAUCAGAUCCAUCAGAGCCGGAUGAAUGAACUAGAAAACUUCCACAAGAUUAUUAUCCAGGAACUUGCCAAUCUUGAGAAGAGAACACAGUUUCUCUUGAGUCUUGAGAAAGAGGCAGUGGAAUUUUGCACUGAACAAUCAAAACAACUGGAGUGUAAGCUGAAUGCUUUUUGCAUUCAACAAAUUCAAAGGAUACAAUCCAUGGAUGAACUGCUGGAUGAACCCACAGAGAACUUGGACAACACAGGCCAAAAUUAUCAGAAAGAAGAAGAUAAUCAGGAACAGAGAGGCCAACAUGAUGUUGUUGAUUCCAAUUGAUUAAAAUUACACAAUCACAUUUUUGAAAAAGACACUGAAUAAAUUACUUUCACUUUUUGUUCAACGUUAUGUG